UGGGGAAUAUUGCACAAUGGGCGAAAGCCUGAUGCAGCAACGCCGCGUGAGGGAAGACGGUUUUCGGAUUGUAAACCUCUGUUUUCGGUGACGAACAAAUGACGGUAACCGAGUAGGAAGCCACGGCUAACUACGUGCCAGCAGCCGCGGUAAUACGUAGGUGGCGAGCGUUGUCCGGAAUUACUGGGUGUAAAGGGAGUGUAGGCGGGAAUGCAAGUCAGAAGUGAAAACUAUGGGCUUAACCCAUAGCCUGCUUUUGAAACUGUAUUUCUUGAGUGAAGCAGAGGCAAGCGGAAUUCCUAGUGUAGCGGUGAAAUGCGUAGAUAUUAGGAGGAACACCAGUGGCGAAGGCGGCUUGCUGGGCUUUUACUGACGCUGAGGCUCGAAAGCGUGGGGAGCAAACAGGAUUAGAUACCCUGGUAGU
rnacentral:rRNA from 1 species